rnacentral:rRNA from 1 species
AUUGAACGCUGGCGGCAGGCAUAACACAUGCAAGUCGAGCGGGGAAGGGUAGCUUGCUACCUGACCUAGCGGCGGACGGGUGAGUAAUGCUUAGGAAUCUGCCUAUUAGUGGGGGACAACAUUCCGAAAGGAAUGCUAAUACCGCAUACGCCCUACGGGGGAAAGCAGGGGAUCUUCGGACCUUGCGCUAAUAGAUGAGCCUAAGUCAGAUUAGCUAGUUGGUGGGGUAAAGGCCUACCAAGGCGACGAUCUGUAGCGGGUCUGAGAGGAUGAGCCGCCACACUGGGACUGAGACACGGCCCAGACUCCUACGGGAGGCAGCAGUGGGGAAUAUUGGACAAUGGGCGAAAGCCUGAUCCAGCCACGCCGCGUGUGUGAAGAAGGCCUUUUGGUUGUAAAGCACUUUAAGCGAGGAGGAGGCUACCGAGAUUAAUACUCUUGGAUAGUGGACGUUACUCGCAGAAUAAGCACCGGCUAACUCUGUGCCAGCCGCCGCCGUAACAC